rnacentral:piRNA from 1 species
GACAUGUUCAUGAUGGUCUUAAUGCCC